rnacentral:rRNA from 1 species
UUUAUUGAGAGUUUGAUCCUGGCUCAGGACGAACGCUGGCGGCGUGCUUAACACAUGCAAGUCGAG